rnacentral:rRNA from 1 species
AUUGAACGCUGGCGGCAUGCCUUACACAUGCAAGUCGAACGGCAGCACGGGGCAACCUGGUGGCGAGUGGCGAACGGGUGAGUAAUGCAUCGGAACGUACCUUUCAGUGGGGGAUAACGUAGCGAAAGUUACGCUAAUACCGCAUAUUCUGUGAGCAGGAAAGCAGGGGAUCGCAAGACCUUGCGCUGAUUGAGCGGCCGAUGUCAGAUUAGCUAGUUGGUGAGGUAAAGGCUCACCAAGGCGACGAUCUGUAGCGGGUCUGAGAGGAUGAUCCGCCACACUGGAACUGCGACACGGUCCAGACUCCUACGGGAGGCAGCAGUGGGGAAUUUUGGACAAUGGGGGCAACCCUGAUCCAGCCAUGCCGCGGGAGUGAAGAAGGCCUUCGGGUUGUAAAGCUCUUUCGGCCGGGAAGAAAUCGCACGGGCUAAUACCCUGUGUGGAUGACGGUACCGGAAUAAGAAGCACCGGCUAACUACGUGCCAGCCGCCGCUGUAACAC